AUACGGAAGGUCCGGGCGUUAUCCGGAUUUAUUGGGUUUAAAGGGAGCGCAGGCGGAGAUGCAAGCGUGACGUCAAAUUUCGGGGCUCAACCCCGUCUCGCGUCGCGAACUGCGUCCCUUGGUUGCGGGAAGGGGAGGCGGAACUCGUGGUGUAGCGGUGAAAUGCAUAGAUAUCACGAAGAACUCCGAUCGCGAAGGCGGCCGUCGGGCCCGUCAACGACGGUCAUGCUCGAAGGUGCGGGUAUCAAACAGGAUUAGAUACCGUGGUGGUCCGCACAGUAAACGAUGGACACCCGCGGUUUGGCCUGUAUGGCUGAGCCGCCAAGCGAAAGCGUUAAGUGUCCCACCUGGGGAGUACGCCGGCAACGGUGAAACUCAAAUGAAUUGACGGGG
rnacentral:rRNA from 1 species